rnacentral:rRNA from 1 species
GGCUCAGGAUGAACGCUAGCGGCAGGCCUAAUACAUGCAAGUCGAGGGGGAUUGGAGAGCUUGCUUUCCAUGAGACCGGCGCACGGGUGCGUAACGCGUAUGCAACCUACCUUGAUCAGGGGGAUAGCCCGAAGAAAUUCGGAUUAACACCGCAUAAAACCACAGGAUAGCAUUAUCUAAUGGUCAAAUAUUUAUAGGAUUGAGAUGGGCAUGCGUGUCAUUAGCUAGUUGGUAAGGUAACGGCUUACCAAGGCGACGAUGACUAGGGGAUCUGAGAGGAUGACCCCCCACACUGGUACUGAGACACGGACCAGACUCCUACGGGAGGCAGCAGUAAGGAAUAUUGGUCAAUGGAGGCAACUCUGAACCAGCCAUGCCGCGUGCAGGAAGACAGCCCUAUGGGUCGUAAACUGCUUUUAUACGGGAACAAACCUUUCUUCGUGAAGAAAGCUGAGCGUA